AGUAUGUAGUGUCCAAAUAAACUUUAUGAAUGGUCUUCUCUCGUAAAACAGGAUGCAUAACGUGAUCCUUAGAAGCGCGGAAAUCUCCACAGUGAAGAACACGUCUUGUUUGAUUACUCUGAAGCGUUUCAAAAACAAACAUAGCUGAUCCUGGACAAUGAUUAGCAUCCAAAACAUAUACAGUAAUACCCAUUAUAUUAUAUGGUUGAUUUAGUUUGAGACGCUUCACAUAUUGUUCAUCAACAUGCAUGACAUUUAUUAAAAGAUUUCCUGUUACUUCUGAACAGUAAAUAGGACCGUGCUUCCAUUUUGGAGUUAAACCGCCAUAGUGAUCAGAAUGAAAGUGUGACAAAAAAUAAGCUUCAACACCAUCAAUGGCACCGUAAGCAAAUGCGUCAACGGCAAAAGGAAUAUUAUAAGGCAUUAAUUUAUAGAAAGGAACAACAGACCGAACAUUAAUUUGCUUUCCAGGUAAAGGUAAUAACGCCUGUUUACAGGAAUCAGAUAUUGGGAAUGUACUCGAAUUCGAAGGAUCGGCUUUAACGACAGAGUCUUUCUUCAGCUUUUUUGAAACAGCUUCCGUUGUUCUCCCGUCUAGGCAGUCAUUGACAUGUAUAUUGGCAUCGACAGUUAAAGACUCCAAAGUUAUUCCACAUAUUGGACAAAGAAGCAAUUCAGACAUGGUUGACUCCUCGUUUUUAACCAGCUCAUUUUUUAAAGGUUCUAAGAUGUUAGCAUCCCCAAAAGAUUGCCAUUGAGGAGACUCACCCACUUCAGAAGUGAAACUUGGAUCAUUGAAUUGUAAUAAGACUUCCUGUGAGAAUUUCUCAUUUUUUAUUUGGGAACUUGAAAUUGCAUUUUUUACUGUAGAGGGCUUGGUGGUGGAAUCAGUUUUUUCAA